AAUCGUGGACAAUGGGUGAGAGCCUGAUCCAGCCAUCCCGCGUGAAGGAAGAAUGCCCUAUGGUUUUUAAACUGCUUUUAUACAGGAAUAUACCACUUUACGUGUAAGGUGUUGAAGGUACUGUAUGAAUAAUCAUAUGCUAUCUCCGUGCCAGCAGCCGCGGUAAUACGGAGGAUGCAAGCGUUAUCCGGAUUUAUUGGGUUUAAAGGGUCCGUAGGCGGGCAUAUAAGUCAGAGGUUAAAUCCGACAGCUUAACUGUCGAACUGCCUUUGAAACUGUAUGUCUUGAGUGAGAUUGAAGCAGCUGGAAUGUGUAGUGUAGCGGUGAAAUGCAUAGAUAUUACACAGAACACCGAUAGCGUAGGCAGGUUGCUAAGUCUUUACUGACGCUGAUGGACGAAAGCGUGGGGAGCAAACA
rnacentral:rRNA from 1 species